UCCCGGGUGACGCAAUUGGUUAGCGUGUCAGACUUUUACAGCAUAAGUAAAUCUGAAAGUUGCGAGUUCGAGUCUCGCCUCGGGAG
rnacentral:tRNA from 1 species